rnacentral:tRNA from 1 species
GCGUGGCCUAGCGGUAAGGCGCCUGUCUGUGGCACAGGAGACCGAGGGUUCGAAUCCCUUCG